AGCAGCCGGUGACAUCUCUGCUCCUCAGACAGGGACCAAGGUCCUGUGAGGCCCAUGCCGUAUACCAACACCUCAGUGGGACACACAGUCCCAAGGGCAGCUUUACUGUGCUUCUGAGCAGGGCAAGUUUUCACUGUGCCUCUGCAGCCCUGGAAAAGAAGGAAAGAGCCAAGAAGGAUGGCACAGGCGUGGGGCUGGCCAGGACCUGGUAAGAGCUUGCCCAUGGUGAGGGACGGCUGGUGGUGGCAGAUGCUUGUCCCCAGGGCUGGUGGCAGAGGCUUGUCCUUGGUGCCCAGAGCAAGUGGCUGUGCCUGGGGCACUCUGGUGUGAAUGCAAUGCCAACAGCCAGCCAGGCACCUGCUCUGGCAAAGCCAGGUCAAGAGUGUGAUAAGCACAAGCUCUGGCUGCAUCACACUGGUGAGGCGUGAGCCACAGAGGGGUUUUCCAGCUGCAGCCAGGCUCCAGCAAACACCUGGGCACUCGAGGUCAGGAGGCAUUUGCAACAUAAGCUUUUUGAAUCCAGGAGCGUGGCAAAGGUGUUUUUAAAGAGAGUGGCAAGGCUGAGAUCUCCAUGCAGAUCCCGAGCUGCUUGGAAGAUGAGUCAAAGGAUUCCUGGAACAAUUACAGCUGCGAGGUGCAGCAGCACUGAUGCAUCCACCAUCAGCAGCAGGGCCAGGCACCCUCGGCCAGCUGCUCGUGCUUUCUGUUUAAUAAGGCAUAUUAGGCAAUUUCCCAUUAAAAACAUUUAUGGGAAUAUAUAAAUAUUCACUUAUACAGAGCUUGCCUGCCCCUUUGCGCACAGAGUGGUGGAGAGAGUGACUUGAAUUCUUAUAAAUCUAUCAAGACAGCUUGCGAUGGAGCCUGCUGCAUGGCAAGGAGAUGGAUGUCCUGGAGCCCCAGUGGGGAUCGACAUCCUUCAGGCACCAGGAUGGGAGACCUUGCUCAGUGGGAUGAAGUGUUCUCUCCGAGCAGGACAAGGGCACCAUGGGAUGUGCGCCGUGUCUCCUGGUGCGCAGCUGCAGGCAGUGUGGGCAGGGUUUUCCCUCGUGUGAUUUCUCUGUGCUGGCCGCAGGAAGAGCACGCACAGGCCCGAUCUGGAUUAAAUCAAAGGAAUUUUUUUUUCUUCAUUUGCUGUCUUACGCACUGACCACCAAACCACAUCCUUCGAGCCCGAGCCCGGUGCACUGAAACAAAAACUAGGCCACGGCUUUUUGCUCUUGCCUUUCUUUUCUUUCUUUUUCUAUCUUUUCCCUUAGUGCAUCAGUUGGGUGCAAAGCUGGCACAUGGCUAUUCUCCAGCCCCUCCACUCCCCAUGGAGCCCAGUGUACCCCCAUGGGAUGGCCCUUUCCUAGGGCAGCCUGGUGUUUCCCCCACCCCAAGCAAAGCACUUUCAGCUCCAUGUAAAACCUGGGAACUAUGCAGAUUAUGUCCACUGAGCACUGCGUCAGUGGGGAGCAAAUAUAGAGGAAUAAUAAGAAAUGAUGCCCUGGCAGAUUGUGUCAUCAGGACCUAAUUAGUUGCAGUGCAGGGGUUGUACUCGGCUCUCACCCCAACUACAUUAAGCAGCCGAGUGUUUUACAGUCUGACACUGAGAUCAGAGCAAACUGAAGGGGACCCAUCAGCAAAGAGUCCCCCGUUGCUAGCAGGAGUUAUGGCUGUGGUGUGACGCCGGUUCCUGGGCAGCAUGGCCAGAGCAGGGCUUGCAUCAGUUGCGAUCUGCCUGCAUAGGGAAGUUCUCACGUUUACAGAACAGAGAGCAGCUUUAUUGUUUUAUUUUGCAAACCAAAACCAGCCGGGAGUUUCUGAAGUGUCUGCCAUCCCCGCAGAGAGCUGUUUAGUCAUGCCUGGUGUGUAUGCAUGUGAGACUCAGUGUAGGGGAGGGAGUCUCUAGGACUUUGCAAAGAUUAAAGAUUUAUGCUGACCCUUGAAUCUGAUCCAAGGCUAGUAAUCUGCCCUGAUCCUAUCAUCUGCUCAGGGUGGAUCUAUUUCACUUUCCUUUAUGGUACUCCUGACUCACUCGACUCCCACUCCAGGCCAGUCAAGUGGGAAUGGGAAGCACUACCACAUAUUUGUUUGGGUUUACAUUUAAAGCUCUGGACCUGUAGUGGGUGCAGCUCAUAAAGGAAACCAGUGUGGAUAAGAUAUGGGUGAGCUGAAUGCUUGGAAACCACUCCCAAAUACAAGCUGAAGUGGUUUGAAAUCAAGGUGGAGUGAUGUACAGAAGGCACAAUACUUGGCAGCUACACCCAACGUGUGAGAAAGGCAUUUAAAUCCAAGGUGGUAAGGUGGGCAGGGCAUCCAGUGUGCUUCUGAGGGAAGCAGCUUAUUGUCUUUCAGGGUCUGUAACCUCUCCAGUAGAGACCUGGGUACUGAAACCCUCCAUCUGCCCACCAGUGCUCUCCACUUUGCACCACGGGGCUGUGGGAAGCUGUGCUGAGGAUACUGCCUUCCCCCUGGCACUGCUCCACCUGGGAAAUAGCUUGCUUAUGCUCCAUCACCCCAUAGUGAAACACUCCUGAUGGCUGCUGAGGAUUUAGACUGAAAAACAAAAUACAGACCUGAUUUUGUGGAGGGCAGAGCAAAUCUCCUUUGCCCUUGUGAAAUAAAAAGAAGUGUGGCAGAAAGAGAAAUAGGAGCUUUCCAUCCCCCCACCCCAGCUCUCCUCUGCCUCAGCCACACGUGUCAGACUUGGUCUGGAGGAAGGCUGGGGUUGCCAGAGCAGCUUGGCCUGCGUGCCAGCCAAGCCGGGAUGCAUAACACCCACCAGGGCAUUGCCAGCGGUACCAGGGCCACAGGCAGAUAAGCAAACAGUAUCAGUCAUACGGACCUGGCCCGUGGCUGAACUGACCAGGAGAGGGAGAGCACGGUGUAUCCUAUUUCAGAUCCCCUGGGACAUCCUGUUCUCCUGAUAGCUGAUGAUAUGUAAAUAUAGCAAACGCAAAGCAAGGCACUUUGCUACCAUGCCUUACUCAGGCUGCAUACAGAAAGGGGCUGAAACCUAGCAGCGCAGUUGGGAACACCCAUCUGCAACUGUGAAAUAGGCAUCACGCUUUAUUUUUAGUUUAAAAUGAAGUUCCUGUUUGUAAGGCCAGAAGGGUUACAGGAAAAAAAAAAGAAUGAUGAAGCGGGAUCAUUUACUGCUAUUUUUCUUUACACGUGUCCUUCCUUCCUUCCUCCCUCCUGAGAAAUAGGAUGUAGCACAUCGCUAUUCCAGGCUGCAAUAUUCGCUCACAGGAAUGCUGGUUUCUGCUCCCUCCGAAGAGGCCCAUUAUGCCUUGUGUAACAAAAGACACCAGCCUCCCAACCACACCAAUUACCCUUGAUUUCUAGUCGCUACAUGACGGCGCUUAUCUCAUGUAAAUGAAACGCUGUCUUCACACUGACUCGCACUUCCUUUCUCUUUCAUCAGAGUUUUGGGCAGGGGUGAAAGGCAGGUCACGCAGUGGGACUGGGGAGCCCUCCCCAUCUGAUCGGCCCAAUCCCCCUCCUCCAGGAGCUGCUCAGCCCCAGCAGCCAUGGGGCACACCGAAACAACGGGAAGCAUUUGGUCAGGUCAGCCAAAUGAGCCUGUCUAACUAGCAAAGCCAAGCCCUAAUUAGCCUGGUGGCUAACUCCUUGACCCAGCUCCCAGGCCCUGCAUUUCUCCUGCAGGCAGGGGUCACCCAGACGCCAUGGAAGGAGAGCUGCAGGGGUGCAUUUUGGCAGGCACCCACACGUUUUAUUCCCUCCCGUGCCCCAGAAGGGAAAGUCAUGAAUUCUGCCAAAGAUGUGUGCUUGGAUAUGAGGUAUUUUUCUUCUUUUUCAUCCCUUUUACUAAUUUAAUUCCCAGACCUAAAUCAAAUUUUUCCAUCUCAGCCUUCCACAAGCUGGGAUGCAUUGUUUGCAGUUAUGAAACUGUUACAGCUUCCCUAUGCCCUGUAUUGCAUGUUGAGCUGUUGGAGAUGUUUACCUGGCUGCAAUAGCGAUGACCGAGUGAAGAGGAGGCCUCAAGGAUAGGCACUGGGCUGGUUUACGGUCAAAUGCAGACAAAGUUUUCUGAUGUGCUGGUGAGCAGCUCAUUACAUUGCUCCUGUCCUUAUUUUCCUCAUUAUUAAAAGAGGAUAAAGCCCAACCAAUUAUUGGGAUAUGCACAAAUAUGCCAUUGAUGAGGGGCCUGACAGAUUUUCUGAGGAGCCUUGAAGCAGCAAGGCUCAAAAGCCACAUGCUGGGCUCUCCCUUAUUUUUAUUCUUUGCUGUUUUCUUGGUUGUAGGAUAAGAGCUAAUCAGAGUGAUGCUCUCCAGCAGACUUUUGUGUAUGGCACUACAGUAAAAUCCUAAAUUUUCUUUCCUGCUCAUGCAUAUAGAGCAGGAAGAACUAGGAUGGCUGCAGACUAUUUCUAUUUUCAGAUGAUUUAGCCAAGGAAAAAACAUCUGGAUGGCUGAAAGAAUGAGCAUUUGAUAGAAAGUAAUCUUGAAGUGCCGCUCUCUGACAUGACAGCAUGCGAGGUGCUCGGCUUCCUGAGAUAACUGCGCUCCAUGAACUGCCAACAAGGAAUGUAACUUCCAAAGGACACAACAGGACAACAAAGACAACCAGAGCAUGCAGAAUCCAAUGCAAGUGAGACUGCAGAGCAGGCUAGGUGCUUCCUGAGGCACUCCCCUGCGUGCAUUUCUGAUCAAGAAAUGGUUUUAGCAUCAACAUACGUAGAGUUCCUUCCGUUCAGUUUAGGACUUCUACUAGGUGCAGAGGCAAUAAGUCCAGUAUAUGGUUGGUGUAACUCAGUGCAGCUCAACUGAUUUGGUUCAUGUGAGCAUGUUUGUACCUGUAGAUGUGUUGCUUCUUCCUCCACUAAAGCGAAGAUGUCAUCCGGGACUGGGCAGCUUCUCCACGCUGAUGCUGUAGGACCGCAGCAGAGAGUGAUACCUGAGCAUUCACAGCUCCUUGGGCAUCACUUCAUCGUAUCUGGUCUGCAGCUUGCAAGUGAAACUACAGCUCCUAGCACCUAAGAUAUGUAUUGGCUGGCUGCUUGCUACCUUUGGGCACAUCAUUUCUCCCAUCUCUGCCUCAGCUUCCCCGACUGCACAAUGCCUUAUGAAGUAUGAAGGACUUUGAAUUUCACUGAUUAAAAAUCAUUAAAUGAGACUAUCUUGGCCUUCUAGCUUGAUGUAUGUUACCAGCCACUGUGGCUGGGAAUAAAUAUUCCUCUGUUCUCCCAUUUCAAAGUGAUACCCAGUUCCCAGGAUUAUCCUCCUCCCUUGUCCAUGACAACACUGGGAAAAAAAACCCAAGACGUUCCCACUGUGGUGGCUGGGGCUGACACGUGGACAUUGUGUCUCUGUUUGUGUUAAUUCGUCUCUUGUUAACAGUUCAUGGCUGAUCAAAUCCCUUGCAUUGGAUUUAUUACAUGUAAUAAAAGAGAUUUACUGGA